rnacentral:piRNA from 1 species
UCUCUAUGGAGCCUGUUCACUGUGUGAGC